UAAUAUGUUUUCAAGAAAAUC
rnacentral:piRNA from 1 species